rnacentral:rRNA from 1 species
UUUAGCAACGGAUCUCUUGGCUCUCGCAUCGAUGAAGAACGCAGCGAAAUGCGAUAAGUAAUGUGAAUUGCAGAAUUCAGUGAAUCAUCGAAUCUUUGAACGCACCUUGCGCUCC